rfam:Ictidomys tridecemlineatus contig057330, whole genome shotgun sequence.
UGGGGUAUAGCUCAGUGAUAGAGCACUUGCCUGGCAUGCAAAAAACCUUGGGUUCAAUCCCCAACACCACAA